rnacentral:rRNA from 1 species
UACGAAGGGGGCUAGCGUUGCUCGGAAUCACUGGGCGUAAAGGGUGCGUAGGCGGGUCUUAAGUCAGGGGUGAAAUCCUGGAGCUCAACUCCAGAACUGCCUUUGAUACUGAGGAUCUUGAGUUCGGGAGAGGUGAGUGGAACUGCGAAGUGUAGAGGUGAAAUGUUAGAUAUUCGCAAGAACACCAGUGGCGAAGGCGGCUCACUGGCCCGGUACUGACGCUGAGGUGCGAAAGCGUGGGGAGCAAACGGG